rnacentral:antisense_RNA from 1 species
CUUCACCGACCCCAACCACAGCGGCUCGGUGCGCCCCUGACCGUACGUCGCCAGCAGCGCCUGGGCCUC